rnacentral:rRNA from 1 species
UGGGUAACCUGCCUCAAAGAGGGGAAUAGCCUCCCGAAAGGGAGAUUAAUACCGCAUAAUAUGUUUUAAUCGCAUGACUUUAACAUCAAAGGAUUUUCUUCGGAACUUCCACUUUGAGAUGGACCCGCGGCGCAUUAGCUAGUUGGUGAGGUAACGGCUCACCAAGGCAACGAUGCGUAGCCGACCUGAGAGGGUGAUCGGCCACAUUGGAACUGAGACACGGUCCAGACUCCGUAGGAGG